rnacentral:lncRNA from 1 species
CUCGUAGUUUUGGAUGAUCGAGCCGCGCUCAAGGGUGCCGGAACCACGACCCAUCGGCGCAUCCGCCCUGCCGCCGCGCUCAAGGGUGCCGGAACCACGACCCAUCGGCGCAUCCGCCCUGUCGCCGCGCUCAAGGGUGCCGGAAGAAGACGGACCACCGUCCUGCGCCCAAUCGCCCUGAUCGCCCUGAUCAAUCGGCGCAUCCGCAAUGCUGGAGCCGGAGCUACCCCCGGAUGCGCCGAUUGAUCAGGGCGAUCAGAGCGAUCAUCAGGCACAGGACGGUGGCGCGUCUAGCUCCACCCUCGGGAUGCUUUGGACGAGGCUCCACUCCACAGGUUCUCAUUUGAUUUUUUCUAUCACCAUGCUCUUAGGAAUGGCGUCCCGCAGUGCAUAGCGCCUUCUCUCGUCUGUGAGCACCUCGAAUGCCAGAACGAAGGCCAGUAUCCUCACACCCAUCUUGAACACUUCUAUCAGUCGCUUGGAAACGUGAUGCGAGUGCUUGGAAACGGGGAUGGAUACUUCGAGGCUCUAAUGAAGGCUUCUCGUUUCAAGCUAUCAGAAGGCACUGAUCCUUGUUCCAACCUCAAGAAGAUGGAGGUGGCCGAGGAUAGAGACAUCAAGGACGACCUCUGAUUGUCACUUGGUCUAUCGAUCGUUCCAUUUCAUUUGUGAUUGUUUAGUUUUUUUUUUUCUUAUAAUGUGAGCCAAGGUCUUUUUCCGA